GUAUCCUGGCUCAGGAUGAACGCUAGCUACAGGCUUAACACAUGCAAGUCGAGGGGGCGAGCAUGGUCUUAGCUUGCUAAGGCUGAUGGCGACCGGCGCACGGGUGAGUAACACGUAUCCAACCUGCCGUCUACGUCUUGGCCAGCCUUCUGAAAGGAAGAUUAAUCCAGGAUGGGAUCAUGAGUUCACAUGUACCGCAUGAUUAAAGGUAUUUUCCGGUAGACGAUGGGG
rnacentral:rRNA from 1 species